rnacentral:rRNA from 1 species
UACGUAGGGUGCAAGCGUUGUCCGGAAUUAUUGGGCGUAAAGAGCUCGUAGGCGGUUUGUCGCGUCUGCUGUGAAAACUCGGGGCUUAACUCCGGGCCUGCAGUGGGUACGGGCAGACUAGAGUGCGGUAGGGGAGACUGGAAUUCCUGGUGUAGCGGUGAAAUGCGUAGAUAUCUGGAGGAACACCGGUGGCGAAGGCGGCAUCCUGGACCGACAUUGACGCUGAGGCGCGAAAGCCAGGGGAGCGAACGGG